rnacentral:lncRNA from 1 species
UGCUCUGUCACACAUGGCUCACAAGUAGGAGGUAACCACUGCAGCUCAGCCAUGUCAACAAGAAACUCGUUUAUGAAUCAGGUACUCGACACCAAAUUUAUAUAUAAAAAAAACAAAUUUGGGGGAGAGAGAGAGAGAGGGGGGGGCUACCGAUUGGGGAUUUCAGCCCGACGAUGGACUUGAAGAUUGAACAGCACCACAGUCAAAUUGAAGAUUGGAGAAAUUUGGGGAAUGGGCCAGUCGGAGGAGACGACGAGUGGGCGACGGGUGACUGCCGGACGGCGAUUCUGUGCUGCCACGCUAGGCCGACGGCGGACGUGAAUCCUUGACCUAGCGGGCGGGGCCAACGGGAGCCAGGGAG